rnacentral:tRNA from 1 species
GCCUGGGUAGCUCAGUCGGUUAAGCAUCUGACUUCUGCUCAGGUCACAAUCUCACCAGUUUGUGGGUUCAAGCUCCGUGUCAGGCU